GCGGGGGUAGCGAAGUGGUCAAACGCGACAGCCUCAAGAGCUGUUUCCUUAGUGGAUUCGGAGGUUCGAAUCCUCCCUCCCGCA
rnacentral:tRNA from 1 species